GUGGGGAAUCUUCCGCAAUGGACGAAAGUCUGACGGAGCAACGCCGCGUGAGUGAAGAAGGUUUUCGGAUCGUAAAGCUCUUUCGUUAGGGACGAACGUGCUCUUUGUGAAUAAUGAGGAGUAAUGACGGUACCUAAAUAAGAAGCCACGGCUAACUACGUGCCAGCAGCCGCGGUAAUACGUAGGUGGCAAGCGUUGUCCGGAAUUAUUGGGCGUAAAGCGCGCGCAGGCGGGAUAUCAAGUCUGUCUUAAAAGUGCGAGGCUCAACCUCGUGAGGGGACAGAAACUGGUAUUCUUGAGUGUCGGAGAGGAAAGUGGAAUUCCAAGUGUAGCGGUGAAAUGCGUAGAGAUUUGGAAGAACACCAGUGGCGAAGGCGACUUUCUGGACGGUGUCUGACACUGAGGCGCGAAAGCUAGGGGAGCGAACGGGAUUAGAUACCCCAGUAGUCC
rnacentral:rRNA from 1 species